AUUGAACGCUGGCGGCAUGCCUUACACAUGCAAGUCGAACGGUAACGGGCCUUCGGGUGCCGACGAGUGGCGAACGGGUGAGUAAUACAUCGGAACGUGCCCGAUCGUGGGGGAUAACGAGGCGAAAGCUUUGCUAAUACCGCAUACGAUCUACGGAUGAAAGCAGGGGACCGCAAGGCCUUGCGCGGACGGAGCGGCCGGUGGCAGAUUAGGUAGUUGGUGGGAUAAAAGCUUACCAAGCCGACGAGCUGUAGCUGGUCUGAGAGGAUGAUCAGCCACACUGGGACUGAGACACGGCCCAGACUCCUACGGGAGGCAGCAGUGGGGAAUUUUGGACAAUGGGCGCAAGCCUGAUCCAGCCAUGCCGCGUGCAGGAUGAAGGCCUUCGGGUUGUAAACUGCUUUUGUACGGAACGAAAAGCCUUCUUUUAAUACAGGAGGGUCAUGACGGUACCGUAAGAAUAAGCACCGGCUAACUACGUG
rnacentral:rRNA from 1 species